rnacentral:rRNA from 1 species
GACGAACGCUGGCGGCGUGCCUAACACAUGCAAGUCGAGCGGGGUUGAAGCGAGGGGUAACUCGAACUUCUACCUAGCGGCGGACGGGUGAGUAACGCGUGGGCAACCUGCCUCAAGGAUCGGGAUAACAGCUCGAAAGGGCUGCUAAUACCGGAUAUGCCUAUGGCCUCGCAUGGGGCUGUGGGCAAAGGGGAAACCCGCCUUGAGAUGGGCCCGCGUCCCAUCAGCUAGUUGGUGAGGUGAAGGCUCACCAAGGCGACGACGGGUAGCCGGCCUGAGAGGGUGACCGGCCACACUGGGACUGAGACACGGCCCAGACUCCUACGGGGGCAGCAGUGGGGGAUCUUGCACAAUGGGCGAAAGCCUGAUGCAGCGACGCCGCGUGAGCGAAGAAGGCCUUCGGUUGUAAAGCUCUGUCUGGAGGGACGAAGAAAGUAGACGGUACCUACCGGACGGAAGCCAACCGGGCUAACGUACGUUGCCAGCAGCCGCGGUAAAACGUAGACGUG